GCUGGUUCAAAGGGGAUGUGGUCGAAUACACAUCAUUAUCCUUGAUCAAAGAUGGAUACUAAAGACAGGUCACACUUUCUUUGACCUAUUAACAUCUCUGGGGCCACCUGACCAUUUAUCCCAUAAAAAAGCCUCUGUCUCUUUCUUACUCUGUCUCUUUAUGUCCUCUCUCUCAUAAACCACCCACCCCCACCCACCUGUCGUCUGUCAGACACCCUAAACAAAGGCACUGCCUCUGUCAGUCAGCUUUAACUUCCCCCUCCCCGGGCUAGUAGAUGUCAGGAGGCAGGCCAUAUCCCUAGAAAGCUGCAGCUGCUGUGCUGAUUGGGCUCGCCUUCAUAUUAGGCACGGCCCUAAACCGCCCCCACAACAAACACACACACACACACAGAGGCUGUGAAAAGAAGACAGAGAGAGGCUGCAAAGCAGAGUUGUCUUUUUCUGCUUGCCUGUUUUAUUGUGUGGAGUAUUGUCACUGCAGGAUAAAGAGCUGAAUAUUUAUUCAAAUUUUCUAGAGAAGUAAGUUAUUGCACAACCCAUUUCUGCUGGUACCUCUGUGUCCUCACCAAGCCCUGCUUCAGACAGACUGUUUCAGCGCUUGCUUACAGAGUCCAGUUCUUCAGCCUCGGCUCCAUCUGUGUCGUCCUCCCAUCUGGCUAGGUGUCCAGUAUCCAGCGUUCUGUCCCUGCUGCCCCCCCCCGUAGACCCAGCCCUACAGCUGCCACUGCCCGCCCGGACUCCGUACAGUCCCAGUCCGGCUUCACCAUGGUUUGGUGUGAGGACAUGGAGUGUGGGGUUUGCUACCAACCCUACUCCCGUGAGGAGCGGGUCCCCCGAGUUCUGCACUGCAGACACACCUUCUGCGCCACCUGCUUAGAGACCAUUUCCCUGCCGAAGAGUGGCCUGCUCACCGUGCGUUGCCCACUCUGCCGACAGACCACUUGUAUAGGUCGCGGCCUUACGCUCCACGAAGCGUUGUGGGUCAAUUCGCGCCUCUGGGACAACAUUUCUGAAAGUGAAGAAGAGCAGGACCAGGUGAUAGAGGUGAUGGAUGAGGAGGAGGAGGAGGAAGAAGAAGAAGAGGGGAUGGAGGCUAAUGUACCGACACACGCUGCCUCACAAGCCAAAGGCCCUACUCCAAAGCCCACAAGACCAAAACUUAAACUACCAGCCUUCUUCAGGAAAUUCAUUCUGUCAAAACCACAGCACCAAGAGCGGAUUGUGCCUGUCUGUACCAAUGUGGAGAUGAAAUCCUGGCGCAGGCUUUCAGCUGCUGAGACCUUUUAGUAGGUCAGCCACAUAUUGAUGGACUAUUCAGGAUGCGCAGUCAGCUGCUUCAGCCAACGCGCAGUCAACUGCUUCAAGUCAACUUUUCUGCUCUUCUGCCAGCCUCUUAUGGAAUUGCUAUGCCCUCAUUCUUUACUGUCAUGUCACAGACACUGAAGAUGGGGCUGACUGGAGCACCAGCAGAUCAGAAGAGUUCCUCUGGGAUUGCAGCAAUUGUCUCUUUCAACAAGGUGUACAUUACCAGCUGACCCAACUGUCAACCCUGUCAGGAGAGUUUAGAGACGGUGUUCCAAAUGGCACUCCUGUGGUUAAAAGUAGUGGACUACAUAGGGAAUAGGAUCUGAUUUGGGAGACCCUCAGAGAGAAAUCUAGAAUCUAUCCAUGUGUCUGACUGACAAGACAGGCUUCAUUGUUGAAGCACUGACAUCUCCACAGUUUCUCCCGUCUCCCUCCCCAUUAGUUAUUCUGGCUGUAAUUUUUCACAGCUGGUGCAUUGGGAUUUUGGAUUUGGUUCAGCUGUCCCUUUAUAGGACAGACAGCCUAGUGGAAGCCAGGGUAACCCCCCCCCCUUUACUUAACAGAUGCCCCCCCCCCCCCCCCCCCGAAGAUGAUCCCUCCCCUCCACUUUCCAGUGUCAGCAAACAAAAUAUUUAAUUUAUUGUCAGCUUUUGUAUUUAUGUUCAUUUUUAAAAACUUUUAAAUAAAAACGUUUAGCAAAAAG
ensembl:lncRNA